rnacentral:rRNA from 1 species
AUGGUGGAGGACAAUGAAGAUGAUAGGCUCAGCAUUUUGCCUGAUGAUGUUUUGCUCAACAUUGUUGAGCGACUUGAUAUUGCUGACGCCACAAGAACCACCAUCCUCUCCAGACGUUGGAAGCAGAUCCCUGCAAUGCUAUCAAAAGUUGUUAUAAUGGCUGGUUCUUUUGAACCCAAGCACACAACAAGCAAGUUAACCUCAGAUGAUAUAAUUCGGUUCAACAGCACCAUGCUGGAAGCAACCAGGAGCAUACUGGAAAGGAGGGCUAGAACUUUAUACACCAUUCACCUGUUGCGCAUGCAAUUCUACUUGGGAGAUGAGUCCAUUUUCAUUGGCCAGACUGUUGCCAACACCAUAGCAACACAAAAGGUUGCUUCAGUUGAGUUUACAAUCUUGACGAAGGUGCGUAAAAAUUGUACAAAUAAUGAUCUACUGACAUAUGGGAGACAGUUCAUGUCAUUCUUUGAUUCGUGUCCAAACACAUUUGGUUGUCUCGCACGCCUCAGGCUAGAGAAUUUGAGGUUAGGAGAAUCAGACUUCCCCAAAAUUUUCAGUAUAUGCAAGCAACUAGAGUUCCUCUUCCUCUAUGAAUGUGACAUGGGUAUUAAGUCUUUGCUGGAAGUGGAACACCCGCAACUCAGUGAACUAGUGAUUGCCUCUGGCUGUCUUGAGAGGGUUCAUCUGAAGUGGGCACCAAAGCUCACAAUACUGAAAUUCAAUGUUUUUAGAACUAAAGACGACCCCUUCUGUCUUGGCUAUGUCCCACUGCUCCAGACUGUGAGCAUAAUCAAUACUGCUUUCUCCUGGCACAAGAUGCUCAAGUUAAGUGAGUUGCUUGGUAAAACUGCCAUAAGCAACCUGCAUUUGAACUUCAAAAGUGAAAAGAUUUGGGUCAAACCGGAAGGUCGAAGACAAUUGUUACCGGUGUUCCACAAACUUAGGAUUGUGAAUUUGCUUAACAUUUCUGAAGAAUGCGAUCUUUCUUGGACAAUGUUCUUACUCCAAGGUGCACCCAACCUUAAAGAACUGCGCGUCUUGGUGCGGGAUCAUUUAUGUGAAAUGAUAACAGGGGAGCGGAGGAAGAUGUGUCCAUUUAGCAAGCAGAAGGACAAAGGAUUACAGUGGGAACCGUCUACAACCGACUUAAAGCACCACAACCUAACUAAGCUCAGUAUCUAUGGGAGGUUUCAAGCAGAAGACAAAUUCGUGAGCUAUGCCAGAAGUGUCAUGGAAGCAGCAGUGAAUUUGGAGGAGAUAAAACUAUAUAAAAGUCCAGUGUGUUGGAAGUGCAAGCACCUGCUGCAGGAGUGGACAUUGGAGGAGAAGUCAUAUUUUAGCUACAAAAUCAACAAAGGGAUGCCCUCGCUAGUCCGGAUUCACUUUCCGAGUUUAGGGCAAGUCUUAUCUUAG